UCCUUCUCUUCUUGUCGUUUCAGAGGACAGGUGUUUAUAUAUUGAUGUGCCUUCAGAUGAAGUACAUUUAUUGUUUUUUUCCCUAUCUGCCUUGUGCGAGCUAAAGGUCCCUGUUUUCAUUUGGAUGUGGAUUCUUUCUUGUUUUCUGUAUCAAUAUUCAGUAAAGCAUCAUGGCUCCCUAAAUGACAUUGUUUAACACUGAACGGUUACAAAGA